CGCAGCAAAAUGCGAUAAGUAAUGUGAAUUGCAGAAUUCAGUGAAUCAUCGAAUCUUUGAACGCACAUUGCGCCCGCCAGUAUUCUGGCGGGCAUGCCUGUUCGAGCGUCAUUUCAACCCUCAAGCUCAGCUUGGUGUUGGGACUCGCGGUAACCCGCGUUCCCCAAAUCGAUUGGCGGUCACGUCGAGCUUCCAUAGCGUAGUAAUCAUACACCUCGUUACUGGUAAUCGUCGCGGCCACGCCGUAAAACCCCAACUUCUGAAUGUUGACCUCGGAUCAGGUAGGAAUACCCGCUGAACUUAAGCAUAUCAAUAAGCGGAGGA
rnacentral:rRNA from 2 species